GCGGGUUUAGCUCAGUUGGGAGAGCGUCAGACUGAAGUCAAACUUCACCAGUUCAUCUGAAGGUCGUGUGUUCGAUCCACACAAACCGCA
rfam:Coniochaeta ligniaria NRRL 30616 unplaced genomic scaffold CONLIGscaffold_1, whole genome shotgun sequence.